AACCUCGGGCAAGUUCAAAAGAAUGGAAGAGAUCCCGUCCGCUCUCCCCUAGUUAAACUAGUAAGGGCAGAUUAGUAGUUGGGUCGGCGACGACCAGCGAACACCGGCUGCUGUAUAUU
rnacentral:rRNA from 1 species